UACGAAGGGGGCUAGCGUUGUUCGGAAUUACUGGGCGUAAAGCGCACGUAGGCGGAUAUUUAAGUCAGGGGUGAAAUCCCGGGGCUCAACCCCGGAACUGCCUUUGAUACUGGGUAUCUCGAGUCCGAGAGAGGUGAGUGGAAUUCCGAGUGUAGAGGUGAAAUUCGUAGAUAUUCGGAGGAACACCAGUGGCGAAGGCGGCUCACUGGCUCGGUACUGACGCUGAGGUGCGAAAGCGUGGGGAGCGAACGGG
rnacentral:rRNA from 1 species